GAUUUAUUUAGAAGAGGGGAGAGAACAGGCUCUGAGAACCUCUGGCAACCUUCCUCCGGCGGAAAGGUGCCAAUACCUGCCCGAGAGGGAACGAUAAAUU
rnacentral:ncRNA from 1 species